UGGCCUCUCUCUGAGCUUAUGAUAUCCUCUGAGCCAGGGCUGGAAGCAGCAACACAGCUGAGGGCAGAGAGGACUUUCUGGAAGCUGAAAUCCUUAGGAAACACUUUUGGGAUUUGCAAGAGGUCCAACAGAGGCUCUUCUCCCUAGCUGUUGCAGUCUACAUUCCAACGUGGCUACUGGCCUUCCCAUUAGAGGCAGGCCUGCCCCUGGAGAGAACAGCUUGUAGUGUUUGGCUUUUCUGGUAAGAAGAAUGGGAACCCUGUGCCUGAUACACAAAGAACAAGAUAUCCAGGCUGGCACUCUCCUCCCUCCAAGAGCUCCAGAUAUUUUUUUCCAUCUCCAGGAGGAUGUGUGCAAGUCAUACAACGUUGGAAGACUCAGCCAAAGAGAAGACAUAAGACUGAGGCUGCACCCAUCAGCCCAACAGACAAAUAGGGCCAGAGAGCCUAUCCCUGCUACUCACACAAACAACAGCCCAAAUUUAAUCCAACAGUUCAACAGAGAGACUUGGACAUCUGGGAGCUUCCCUAGAUCAGUGAGGUGCAUGUGUGGCUUGGACACAGAACUGAGUAUAAGGGCUAAAGGAGACAGCCCCCACUUUGC
rnacentral:lncRNA from 1 species